GAUGAACGCUGGCGGCGUGCCUAAUACAUGCAAGUCGAGCGAACGGACGAGAAGCUUGCUUCUCUGAUGUUAGCGGCGGACGGGUGAGUAACACGUGGAUAACCUACCUAUAAGACUGGGAUAACUUCGGGAAACCGGAGCUAAUACCGGAUAAUAUUUUGAACCGCAUGGUUCAAAAGUGAAAGACGGUCUUGCUGUCACUUAUAGAUGGAUCCGCGCUGCAUUAGCUAGUUGGUAAGGUAACGGCUUACCAAGGCAACGAUGCAUAGCCGACGUGAGAGAGUGGUAGGCCACACUGGAACUGGGACACGGUCCAGACUCCUACGGGAGGCAGCAGUAGGGAAUCUUCCGCAAUGGGCGAAAGCCUGACGGAGCAACGCCGCGUGAGUGAUGAAGGUCUUCGGAUCGUAAAACUCUGUUAUUAGGGAAGAACAUAUGUGUAAGUAACUGUGCACAUCUUGACGGUACCUAAUCAGAAAGCCACGGCUAACUACGUG
rnacentral:rRNA from 1 species